rnacentral:lncRNA from 1 species
UGAUUUACUUUGACUGACAGAAAUGAACUAUUCAAAUUAAACUAAAAUGGACAGGGACAAAAUCAUUUCCAAUUGGUCUCUGCUUCAUUUCUUGAAUACUUAUGAGCUUGCAAAGAUGUGAUUCGGCCUGAGCUGAGCCAACAUGCCUCGUAUUCUGUUUUUGGGGGCUAGCUUGAAUAUUCUCAGCAUGGCCAACUAUCCACAACGUGCUCUAGUUUUAGGUCCAGGUGUACUGGCAGCCUUGAUUGCACUAGUAACUGGAUUGGAUAUAAAUUAUGGUUUGUGUUAUGUUAGUAGCCUUGAGGCGGCCCUACUGCAGAGUCCUUGUUGAGGUAAGUGGACUCAGGAUGUGUUUGGCUCAGAAGCAGAAUGAAUUCGAAUAGAAAUC